CUGACAGCCCUAGAGAGCAACAUCCUCUCUCCAGAGAGAGAACACAGGAUGAGCAGCAACAGGACAACAUUUCCUCCCACUGUGCCUCAACCCUUACCUGGAGGGAACAUCCCUAGGCCAAAGUGAGCUCAGUCACCAGGAUCCAGUCAGUUAAGGCCUCUU
rnacentral:sRNA from 1 species